rnacentral:rRNA from 1 species
UACAGAGGUGGCGAGCGUUAUUCGGAAUUAUUGGGCGUAAAGGGCGCGUAGGCGGCCACGCAAGUCUUGGGUGAAAUCCCUCGGCUCAACCGAGGAACUGCCCUUGGAAACUGCAUGGCUCGAGGCCGGGAGAGGGUAGCGGAAUUCCCAGUGUAGCGGUGAAAUGCGUAGAUAUUGGGAGGAACACCGGUGGCGAAGGCGGCUC